UACGUAGGGGGCGAGCGUUGUCCGGAUUUACUGGGCGUAAAGGGUGAGUAGGCGGUUAUAUAUGUCAGGUGUAAAAAGCUAUGGCUUAACCAUAGUAAGCACUUGAAACUGUAUGACUUGAGUGCAGGAGAGGUAAGCGGAAUUCCUAGUGUAGCGGUGAAAUGCGUAGAUAUUAGGAGGAACACCGGUGGCGAAGGCGGCUUACUGGACUGUAACUGACGCUGAGUCACGAAAGCGUGGGUAGCAAACAGGAUUAGAUACCCCGGUAGUCCCUGAG
rnacentral:rRNA from 1 species